GUGCCAGCAGCCGCGGUAAUACGUAGGUGGCAAGCGUUAUCCGGAAUUAUUGGGCGCAAAGCGCGCGUAGGCGGUUUUUUAAGUCUGAUGUGAAAGCCCACGGCUCAACUGUGGAGGGUCAUUGGAGACUGGAAAACUUGAGUGCAGAAGAGGAAAGUGGAAUUCCAUGUGUAGCGGUGAAAUGCGCAGAGAUAUGGAGGAACACCAGUGGCGAAGGCGACUUCUCUGGUCUGUAACUGACGCUGAUGUGCGAAAGCGUGGGGAUCAAACAGGAUUAGAU
rnacentral:rRNA from 1 species